GACAGAGGGUGCAAACGUUGUUCGGAAUUACUGGGCGUAAAGCGCGUGUAGGCGGCUCUGCAAGUCGGAUGUGAAAUCCCACGGCUCAACCGUGGAAGUGCAUUCGAAACUGCAGGGCUAGAGUCCUGGAGAGGAAGGUGGAAUGCUUGGUGUAGAGGUGAAAUUCGUAGAUAUCAAGCGGAACACCGGUGGCGAAGGCGGCCUUCUGGACAGUGACUGACGCUGAGACGCGAAAGCGUGGGGAGCAAACAGG
rnacentral:rRNA from 1 species